AGAAGUGAUAAAAGCAGAGAGGGGCAGCCUAAAAGACUGUGUCUUUACUUAGAAAACAGUAGAGCUCAUCGGCUUGUGGAUCCUGAGCUGGGAAAAAAGUUUUCUCUCAAUGGGAAAAGAAGUUUUCUUGUCCCACUUCUCAUCACAGUGAGAUCUCCUCUCUAGCAUCCCUAACGUGGGGCCAUCUCACCUCUCCCUGAACUCUUCCACAGGCUCAAGUUUGUACAUUCCAACUUGUUGUUUGGGCCUUGUUGGACAUAACUGAAGUCUGGAUGGCAGGGUGAAAAUUGGAUAAACAGCCACACUGACUCAGGGGAGAUUUUUUUUUAAUGCAAACAUCUGUUUCUUGAAUUUGGCCAUGGUAAGACCUAAGGGAAGGGGGAAUACCAGUUGACGAAAUAAGAUCAAGAAGAUACUGCCUCAUUUUUUCUUCUGUUUCAGGGGUAUAAAUCCUGCCUUCUCUCAGCCUUACAGAGGAAGAAAACCCUUUCCAAGUUUCCUCUGAUACUGGGUUUAUGCCCAAUUAUAGUUUAGGCAUGAAGAAACUGAAGCAUGGAGGAAAAACUUAGCAACUAGCCCAACGUCACACAGGCAGUAUAUCAAGUUCUCAACUCAGUAAAGAUGUCAAUUCUCCCCAAAUUAUUUUUAUAAAUAUAAUGCAAUCCCAAUCAAAUUCCAAACAAUGAUUUUGAAUGAGGAACCUGGCAAAACAUUUCUAAACUUCACGUGGAAGAAUAUCUACAUGCAAAUAAUGAAGACACACACACCCACACUUAUAUGUAUUAGGAGCCGUGAUAGCCAGCCUUGACAAUGUGCUGAUGGCAACCU
ensembl:lncRNA PROX1-AS1 PROX1 antisense RNA 1